CAAUGGUCGGUACAGAGGGUUGCCAACCCGCGAGGGGGAGCUAAUCCCACAAAGCCGAUCGUAGUCCGGAUCGCAGUCUGCAACUCGACUGCGUGAAGUCGGAAUCGCUAGUAAUCGUGGAUCAGCAUGUCACGGUGAAUACGUUCCCGGGUCUU
rnacentral:rRNA from 1 species